rnacentral:rRNA from 1 species
AUUGAACGCUGGCGGCAGGCUUAACACAUGCAAGUCGAACGAUGAAAAUAUAGCUUGCUAUAUCGGAUUAGUGGCGGACGGGUGAGUAACACUUAGGAAUCUACCUUUUAGCGGGGGAUAGCUCGGGGAAACUCGAAUUAAUACCGCAUAAUUUCUACGGAAUAAAGAGGGCUUUUAGCUCUCACUAAAAGAUGAGCCUAAGUAAGAUUAGCUAGUUGGUGGGGUAAAAGCCUACCAAGGCGACGAUCUUUAGCUGGUCUGAGAGGAUGAUCAGCCACACUGGGACUGAGACACGGCCCAGACUCCUACGGGAGGCAGCAGUGGGGAAUAUUGGACAAUGGGGGCAACCCUGAUCCAGCCAUGCCGCGUGUGUGAAGAAGGCCUUUUGGUUGUAAAGCACUUUAAGCAGUGAAGAAGACCUAUUGGUUAAUACCCAAUAGCGAUGACAUUAACUGCAGAAUAAGCACCGGCUAACUCUGUGCCAGCAGCCGCGGUAAUACAGAGGGUGCAAGCGUUAAUCGGAAUUACUGGGCGUAAAGCGAGCGUAGGUGGUUAAAUAAGUCAGAUGUGAAAGCCCUGGGCUCAACCUAGGAACGGCAUCUGAAACUAUUUAACUAGAGUAGGUGAGAGGGAAGUAGAAUUUCAGGUGUAGCGGUGAAAUGCGUAGAGAUCUGAAGGAAUACCGAUGGCGAAGGCAGCUUCCUGGCAUCAUAUUGACACUGAGGCUCGAAAGCGUGGGUAGCAAACAGG